rnacentral:rRNA from 1 species
UACGAAGGGGCUAGCGUUGUUCGGAGUUACUGGGCGUAAAGGGCGCGUAGGCGGCGCAUCAAGUCAGGCGUGAAAGCCCUGGGCUCAACCCGGGAAUUGCGCUUGAGACUGGUGUGCUUGAGUACGGGAGAGGAUAGUGGAAUUCCAGUGUAGAGGUGAAAUUCGUAGAUAUUGGGAAGAACACCGGUGGCGAAGGCGGCUAUCUGGACCGUAACUGACGCUGAGGCGCGAAAGCGUGGGGAGCAAACAGG